UUUUUGGUAGGGAAAACAAACACUUGCUGGCAGUAUCCAGGUUUUCUAACCAGAAUUGUGAAUUUUUUUCUCCAGUUUGGUGAUGGAGAGUAUAGAUAACAGUCAGAAGAAAAGCGAUUUAUGAAACAGUGAGCAGAACACUGUUCUGGAGAAUGAGAUGUCUGAUUUUUAUUCCAAGCUCUGCCAGAGUGACCUUGCACUACCACUUCCUCUGUAUUUCAGCAUCCACAACUAUAAAAAAUAUCUCAAGAAACCAUUUCUAGUUGCUUUCAACUUGUUUUGGAUUCAACUCGUGAUCUUAAUGAUGAAGGACGCCACAACCCAUUAGCAGUCAUCUGAGCCGUCCAGAUCUCUUGAGAGCCUCUUUCAAUUUUUCUGGCCAACUUUUUGAUUUUGGGUCAACGCUUUCAUCUCAGAAACCAACAGGGAUAAUUACUGACAACCAUGCCUUCACUGUGCAAUCCCACAACUGUGCCUUUGCUGUAAAACUAUUCCUCUGAAGACGCUGCCAUCUGGAACAGACUUUUGGAGCCUCUGCCUCAUUGACUUGCUGUAAGGGAGACAAAGCUGAAUAAUCAUGGAGAAGUCAAUUGAUGAGGAAAGGAACUUGACUCCAUGCCAUGAGUUUCAUUAUUUUGUGUAUGAACUGAGAUACUUCUGGAUCUGAGACUGCAAGCUGUUACAUGCUCUUGCUACAACAGCCUGAUUAACUUUUAAUGGGAAAAAAAAUUUGUUCCGCUUUCAAGUACAGUAAUCUGGUAAAGGGUUAGCCAUCAAAGACCCAGUUAAAGGGCAGGAGCACAGCAAGAGACCUAUAAAGCUCAGCUACAGGGGUGUAGCUCAAGAAAAAAUAAGCAAUUAGAGUUGGCAGGAAGGGGAUGUCAGAUGUGCAACUGUCUCUUGCAUGAAUUGUCUCCCAGAAAGCUGAAGGACAGCACAAAAUUAUCUUUCCUUAGAGACUCAUCCAUAAGUGGUGUUAAUGACUGUCAGUUACAUUCAAUUUGAUAGUUAUCAUCUGAAAUGAUUGAUUGUAGCUGUGCUGCACAUGGAUAUGGUUAGCAAAAUCUCCCUGCGCUUUCGUUGUCCCAGAAGAUAUUGCUUGAUGGUUAGCACUUAGAUGCUGUUCUACACCUCUCUGGUAGCAUCAUGCUGUUUUUCUGUUUACAGACAUGAUGGCAAUAUUGGACUGUGUUCUGAAAGGAAAAUAAUUUUUAAAUCUACAGUAGGUUUUUUGCUGCCUCUGGUGCAUGUGAUAACUUGCUUGAAGCACUUUGGGACAAAAACUACUUGAGAAAAGCCAAAAUGGCCAGCACACAAAAAUUCUGUGGUUCUGGAAACCAGUUUAAUAACUCCCAGAAGGUGGCUUUGUUCACCAGCUGAGCUCCAAAUAUGAUGCCUUUUCAAGUGUAGACAACUGGCUACUGGCAUCCUCUAACCUUUGAAGAGAUCUGUUGCCACAAAAUCUUCCAGCUUGGGAGAACCUGUGCCUAUAAGGGAAGAAAGAAAUGGAAUAAUUGUUCAGGUGCUUCAACCCAGGUAUCAGGAGCCAGCUUGGAUGCCCUGGUUUGUCUGACACAUCUCUGGGGCUGGCAGGUUUGACUGAAGAUGCACAGGAGGCUGCUGUUCUUGUAGAGUUGCAGAGAGAAGCUAAUGAGUAAGCUCUAUCAUAUUUGCAGCACUGAUAAUUUGUGUGCAGGUAACUGAUAAUUCCUAUAAUUUCUCUCUUGGGAUUUUCUACCCAUCUCAUUACUGGUUAAAUCUUUGAACUGCAUCCUCACCUUAAGCUCAUUUAAUUAAUAUCAUUAUCCAUUUUGGGAGAAAUUGAGAUUUUACAAAGUUCAGAGGGAGAUUAAUGUAUAGAUUGUGGUUUGGCCUAUUGCACCGUGGGUGGCUUGAGGCAGAAAUCUUGGGUGCAGGUACGUUUCCAUAUUCAAGCUUCCUUGAAGCUUCAGGGCUGGGCUUGGGACUCAUUAUUGUAAUGCAUUAAAUUAAUGUUAUAGAUGAAAUUCCAAUUCAAUCUUCUUCGUAAGAGAGCCUUUGACAUGAUAUAUUAACCAUCAGAUUAGAAGAAGACUGACUAAUUAUCAUUUAAUGCAAUUGAAUGCCAGGAUUUGUCAUUUGAUGAGGCUGGCUGGGUGGGGAAUAUAAAUCUGCUGGUACCAGUACCCAUAUAAACUUUAAAUGGGAGGAAGAUUAAAAUUCCAUGGAUGGGAUAUUUAUUUGCAGUCAUUAUUCACAGAGUGACAUAUCACAAAGUCAUAAAAAUGCAAGUGCCUAUCUUUUCUUUCAUAUGGAGCCUUUGAAAAAAGGAUUACCGUAGUCCCAAUCAUAGUUUAGAUGGCACUACAUGCUCUUACUUUUUAAUAUAUCUGCACAUGUACUCUAUAUUUACAUGAAAGUCAUCCCACAGAUGUGUAGUAGCUUCCAAUUAUUGUAAGGGCAUAAAGAACAUGACAGGAAUAAAGUCCUCUGGGUCAUUAAGUCUAAAUCCUUGCUAUCACAGAGAAGUUUAACCUCAAGUUAUCAGUCCACUCUUCCAUCCCUUUCACAUGGUGCUCUGGUCUUCCUCUAUUUUUUUUUUUGUACCGAUUCUCAUCUUCAGUACUUUAAUGAGUAGCUUUAAAAAAAAAAAAAACAACUCAGCAGGUCAAUAUAACGAAUGUUCACUUGCAAACCUAGGUUCCAUUACAUCCUGUUUUUCCAUUUCCUUUCUGGUCUCCUCCUGUUUCAGGGUUUUUAAAAACUUGCAUGCAGUAGAGCCACUACAAUAGUUCCAUGAUUACAUUCAUUUCUUCUUUCUCACUUGGAUAAUAAAAUAUUGCUUCCAACAUUGAGCAGACUUGUAAAAUUUUGGAAUUACAACUUGAUAAAUUUUUAGCUGGGAAAACAUUUGUCUUAGAGAGGAGAGGAGGUUUCUGAGUGUGUUUGGUUAGUCUUUGACUCCUGAUUUUGUUAUUAGGUAUUUUAUUCUGUUCUUUCCUUCUGACCCCUGAUAGCUGCACCUCUGUUAGAAUGGACUCAGGAGUGUCAGCAUGUCUGGUACCUUGCUAGUUGGGCAGCAGCCUAAUUCUUGUAUGCUGCGGGGCAUCUAUGAGGCUCAGACAAAGAGGUUGGACUGCUUUCCAAAUGAUGUAAUCCAAAAAAGACUACAGCUCAACAGGAGCACUUGUGACCUGAAUGAUCUUCUGUGUCAUCUGCAGACUUUUUGGAGUAUGGCAGCAGGAAUUUAAAAUCUGGUGAUGCAGGUUAACAACAUGAAAGGAUGUGCUUUUUGUCUGGGUAAGGGAGAAAAACCUCUGAAGAGGGACUUCUGGGGCAUAACAGCUGAAGAUGUGAAUUUCAACCUUUCUCUAGCAUGAUGCUCUGAUCCUUUCCUGCAGCAAGCAAAAUGUCUGAGGAAAAUAAAACUUCACUCCCCUUGAAAAAAGAGCGCAUAGCACAAUAUAAUCUUUUUAUUAGUAGUUAUUUUGCCAUAUGUGUUUUCUCAUCAUAAACUUGCAUUAUCUAACUGUUGUCCCUAACCUAACAGAAUUCCCACCUUCCCUAGCAACAGGACUGACUUUGGCUGGACAUACAUAAUUGCAUGAUGUGCUGGACAGUGUAGUUAAAUUAUUACCAGGGAAUUUUUUAGUGCAAGUGUCUUUGCUGCUUCCAAUGUUCACAUAUAUACUAAACUACCUAUGAAUUUUAAAUUCUAUUUGUAUGUAAAAGCUAGAAAGAAAAUGUCUUCUACAAAAGCAUUCAAUAAAACAACAGUCUCUGAGUAAUUAACAUGCCACAGGCAUUUGCAAGAAGAAAUACUAAUUUUACUGGAGAAAUCUAGUUACAUUUAUGGUGAAAUCUUGCAAAUGGUUUUAAUGAGGUCUAUUUUUAGUAACUAUCUAUAAUUUUGGACAUCUGUAUCAAAUCUCAUGUGUACUAUAAUACUACCAAGCAGACUAUGUCCUGUCAAAAUAAAAAGAAAGG
ensembl:lncRNA